rnacentral:rRNA from 1 species
AUUGAACGCUGGCGGCAGGCUUAACACAUGCAAGUCGAGCGGAAACGAUGGUAGCUUGCUACCAGGCGUCGAGCGGCGGACGGGUGAGUAAUACUUAGGAAUCUACCUAGUAGUGGGGGAUAGCUCGGGGAAACUCGAAUUAAUACCGCAUACGACCUACGGGAGAAAGGGGGCAACUUGUUGCUCUCGCUAUUAGAUGAGCCUAAGUCGGAUUAGCUGGAUGGUGGGGUAAAGGCCUACCAUGGCGACGAUCUGUAGCUGGUCUGAGAGGAUGAUCAGCCACACCGGGACUGAGACACGGCCCGGACUCCUACGGGAGGCAGCAGUGGGGAAUAUUGGACAAUGGGGGCAACCCUGAUCCAGCCAUGCCGCGUGUGUGAAGAAGGCCUUUUGGUUGUAAAGCACUUUAAGCAGUGAAGAAGACUCUAUGGUUAAUACCCAUAGACGAUGACAUUAGCUGCAGAAUAAGCACCGGCUAACUCUGUGCCAGCAGCCGCGGUAAUACAGAGGGUGCAAGCGUUAAUCGGAAUUACUGGGCGUAAAGCGAGCGUAGGUGGCUUGAUAAGUCAGAUGUGAAAUCCCCGGGCUUAACCUGGGAACUGCAUCUGAUACUGUUAGGCUAGAAUAGGUGAGAGGAAGGUAGAAUUCCAGGUGUAGCGGUGAAAUGCGUAGAGAUCUGGAGGAAUACCGAUGGCGAAGGCAACCUUCUGGCAUCAUAUUGACACUGAGGUUCGAAAGCGUGGGUAGCAAACAGG